ACCCAGCCGACGAGUCUCAAAUAGGACGAAGUAACGCGCGUCCUGGAC
rfam:Schistosoma margrebowiei strain Zambia genome assembly, scaffold: SMRZ_scaffold0001180